UACGUAGGGUGCUAGCGUUGUCCGGAAUCAUUGGGCGUAAAGCGCGUGUAGGCGGUCCGGUAAGUCCGCUGUGAAAGUCGGGGGCUCAACCCUCGAAUGCCGGUGGAUACUGUCGGGCUAGAGUGCGGAAGAGGCGAGUGGAAUUCCUGGUGUAGCGGUGAAAUGCGCAGAUAUCAGGAGGAACACCAAUUGCGAAGGCAGCUCGCUGGGACGUGACUGACGCUGAGACGCGAAAGCGUGGGGAGCAAACAGG
rnacentral:rRNA from 1 species